UGCAGCGUUCGACAAUUGGCAGCAGCACACAACUGGAGAAAACAAUUCCUCAGUGUUGACAUACUGUAAUUACUGAUUUAUUCAAGGUAUUUCCACACAAAUUUUCUAGGUCAGAGUUUCUCCCUGAGAUACUGAGAUGCUAAACAGGAAAUGUCCUGCUCCCAAGAAACCCUGUCUGUUUGCAUAAGAUUAACACACCAGAUUUGAGAGGAAAGUCUGAGGUCAUUUGGAUGAUCUCUCACUUUUAAGUUGACCUUUAAGUUCAUGGAGAAGAUUGAGAACAGCCAUGCUGAAGGCAUCCAUAGUCAAACAGAACUGGAUACUAAAGGGUUUCUAAAUACUAAGGACUCUAGAUGAGGCUGGUACAGUACAGACCCGUUUACAUGUGGAUGUCGGGAGUCAAGCCAUCACGACUGUGUGUUAAUGGACUGUGGGUUAAGAGGGUCAUGCUGAAAUAUCUUAAGAUAUCUAUAUAUACACACCACACGUAUAAUUAUCUAGGAUUACAUAUGUAUUCACAGCGUCCCAAAUACUGCAGGCCUAUCUGUUAACGGUGCUUUGCAAGAAUAUGAAGUCAAAUGUGUAAUCUAAUAAAAACAUUACUACUACUACUACUAUUACUACAACACAGGGGUGAAAGUAACUCAGGACACUUACCGGUACGGUACAGGGUGGCUCUGGCACCCGGAAGUGGUGGGGCCUCGGGCAGAAGGGGCAGGGCUAAGGGUCAGCAUCCCCCAGCCAGCCCUUCCUGGCCGCCUGGUCCGCGCCGCCCCAGGUUCCAGUGGUAAUUUAAAGGGCCCGGGGCUCAGGACACCGAUGCUAUGCCCUUUUAAAAUCACCAAUCCCGGGGCAGCUGCUCCCUUUGUCCUCCCCUCCCGCCGGCGGCCGAGGGGGGGGGGGGGGGCAA